rnacentral:rRNA from 1 species
CCUACGGGCGGCUGCAGUGGGGAAUAUUGGACAAUGGGGGCAACCCUGAUCCAGCCAUGCCGCGUGUGUGAAGAAGGCCCUCGGGUUGUAAAGCACUUUCAGUGAGGAAGAACGCCUGGUGGUUAAUACCCAUCAGGAAAGACAUCACUCACAGAAGAAGCACCGGCUAACUCCGUGCCAGCAGCCGCGGUAAUACGGAGGGUGCGAGCGUUAAUCGGAAUUACUGGGCGUAAAGCGCGCGUAGGUGGCUUGAUAAGCCGGUUGUGAAAGCCCCGGGCUCAACCUGGGAACGGCAUCUGGAACUGUCAAGCUAGAGUGCAGGAGAGGAAGGUAGAAUUCCCGGUGUAGCGGUGAAAUGCGUAGAGAUCGGGAGGAAUACCAGUGGCGAAGGCGGCCUUCUGGACUGACACUGACACUGAGGUGCGAAAGCGUGGGUAGCAAACAGGAUUAGAUACCCCAGUAGUC